CAGUAGCCGCGGGAAAACGUAGGGUGCGAGCGUUAAUCGGAAUUACUGGGCGUAAAGCGUGCGCAGGCGGUCGUGUAAGACAGGUGUGAAAUCCCCGGGCUUAACCUGGGAGCUGCGCUUGUGACUGCACAGCUAGAGUAUGGCAGAGGGGGGUGGAAUUCCACGUGUAGCAGUGAAAUGCGUAGAGAUGUGGAGGAACACCGAUGGCGAAGGCAGCCCCCUGGGCCAAUACUGACGCUCAUGCACGAAAGCGUGGGGAGCAAACAGGAUUAGAUACCCCCGUAGUCCCUGUCUCUUAUAA
rnacentral:rRNA from 1 species